GAAGGUCACACCCGUUCCCAUCCCGAACACGGUAGUUAAGCUUCUCUGCGCCAAUGGUAGUUGGGGGCUUCCCCCUGUGAGAGUAGGUCGCUGCCGGGC
rnacentral:rRNA from 1 species